AGAGUUUGAUCCUGGCUCAGGAUGAACGCUGGCGGCGUGCCUAAUACAUGCAAGUCGAACGAGUUCUCGUUGAUGAUCGGUGCUUGCACCGAGAUUCAACAUGGAACGAGUGGCGGACGGGUGAGUAACACGUGGGUAACCUGCCCUUAAGUGGGGGAUAACAUUUGGAAACAGAUGCUAAUACCGCAUAGAUCCAAGAACCGCAUGGUUCUUGGCUGAAAGAUGGCGUAAGCUAUCGCUUUUGGAUGGACCCGCGGCGUAUUAGCUAGUUGGUGAGGUAAUGGCUCACCAAGGCGAUGAUACGUAGCCGAACUGAGAGGUUGAUCGGCCACAUUGGGACUGAGACACGGCCCAAACUACUACGGGAGGCAGCAGUAGGGAAUCUUCCACAAUGGACGCAAGUCUGAUGGAGCAACGCCGCGUGAGUGAAGAAGGCUUUCGGGUCGUAAAACUCUGUUGUUGGAGAAGAAUGGUCGGCAGAGUAACUGUUGUCGGCGUGACGGUAUCCAACCAGAAAGCCACGGCUAACUACGUGCCAGCAGCCGCGGUAAUACGUAGGUGGCAAGCGUUAUCCGGAUUUAUUGGGCGUAAAGCGAGCGCAGGCGGUUUUUUAAGUCUGAUGUGAAAGCCCUCGGCUUAACCGAGGAAGCGCAUCGGAAACUGGGAAACUUGAGUGCAGAAGAGGACAGUGGAACUCCAUGUGUAGCGGUGAAAUGCGUAGAUAUAUGGAAGAACACCAGUGGCGAAGGCGGCUGUCUGGUCUGUAACUGACGCUGAGGCUCGAAAGCAUGGGUAGCGAACAGGAUUAGAUACCCUGGUAGUCCAUGCCGUAAACGAUGAAUGCUAGGUGUUGGAGGGUUUCCGCCCUUCAGUGCCGCAGCUAACGCAUUAAGCAUUCCGCCUGGGGAGUACGACCGCAAGGUUGAAACUCAAAGGAAUUGACGGGGGCCCGCACAAGCGGUGGAGCAUGUGGUUUAAUUCGAAGCAACGCGAAGAACCUUACCAGGUCUUGACAUCUUUUGAUCACCUGAGAGAUCAGGUUUCCCCUUCGGGGGCAAAAUGACAGGUGGUGCAUGGUUGUCGUCAGCUCGUGUCGUGAGAUGUUGGGUUAAGUCCCGCAACGAGCGCAACCCUUAUGACUAGUUGCCAGCAUUUAGUUGGGCACUCUAGUAAGACUGCCGGUGACAAACCGGAGGAAGGUGGGGAUGACGUCAAAUCAUCAUGCCCCUUAUGACCUGGGCUACACACGUGCUACAAUGGAUGGUACAACGAGUUGCGAGACCGCGAGGUCAAGCUAAUCUCUUAAAGCCAUUCUCAGUUCGGACUGUAGGCUGCAACUCGCCUACACGAAGUCGGAAUCGCUAGUAAUCGCGGAUCAGCACGCCGCGGUGAAUACGUUCCCGGGCCUUGUACACACCGCCCGUCACACCAUGAGAGUUUGUAACACCCGAAGCCGGUGGCGUAACCCUUUAGGAGCGAGCCGUCU
rnacentral:rRNA from 2 species